ACGCUCGACACCUACGGGAAGCAGCAGUGGGGAAUAUUGCACAAUGGGGGAAACCCUGAUGCAGCGACGCCGCGUGAGUGAAGAAGUAUUUCGGUAUGUAAAGCUCUAUCAGCAGGGAAGAAAAUGACGGUACCUGACUAAGAAGCCCCGGCUAACUACGUGCCNGCAGCCGCGGUAAUCUGAGGCGGGCUGGCAAGGC
rnacentral:rRNA from 1 species